GCGGGCAUAACUCAGCGGUAGAGUGCCGGCUUCCCAAGCCGGUGGUCGCGGGUUCGAAUCCCGUUGCCCGCUCUA
rnacentral:tRNA from 1 species